UGAGGCAGCCAUAUCACCCUGUAGCCCAAGACUGGUUACCCACUGAAGCUGAGCCUGGUCAGUACCUGGAUGGGAGACCUCCUGGGAAAACUAGGUUGCUGCUGGAA
rnacentral:rRNA from 1 species